UGAUAAUGAUAAUGAUCAUGAUGAUAAUGAUAAUGAUCAUGAUGAUCAUGAUAAUGAUCAUGAUGAUCAUGAUCAUGAUCAUCAUGAUCAUUAUCA
rnacentral:pre_miRNA from 1 species